GACAGAGGGUGCAAACGUUGCUCGGAAUUACUGGGCGUAAAGCGCGUGUAGGCGGGCUGAUAAGUCGGACGUGAAAUCCCUGAGCUCAACUCAGGAACUGCAUUCGAAACUGUCAGUCUGGAGUAGUGGAGAGGAAAGCAGAAUUCCUGGUGUAGAGGUGAAAUUCGUAGAUAUCAGGAGGAACACCGGUGGCGAAGGCGGCUUUCUGGACACUUACUGACGCUGAGACGCGAAAGCGUGGGGAGCAAACAGGAUUAGAUACCCUGGUAGUCCACGCCGUAAACGAUGAGUGCUGGGUGUCGUGGGUUUUGACCCCCGCGGUGCCGUAGCUAACGCGUUAAGCACUCCGCCUGGGGAGUACGGCCGCAAGGCUAAA
rnacentral:rRNA from 1 species